AACGAACGCUGGCGGCAUGCCUAACACAUGCAAGUCGAACGAGACCUUCGGGUCUAGUGGCGCACGGGUGAGUAACGCGUGGGAACCUGCCCUUAGGUUCGGAAUAACUCCCCGAAAGGGGUGCUAAUACCGGAUAAUGUCUUCGGACCAAAGAUUUAUCGCCUUUGGAUGGGCCCGCGUUGGAUUAGCUAGUUGGUAGGGUAAAAGCCUACCAAGGCGACGAUCCAUAGCUGGUCUGAGAGGAUGAUCAGCCACACUGGGACUGAGACACGGCGCAGACUCCUACGGGAAGCAGCAGUGGGGAAUAUUGGACAAUGGGCGAAAGCCUGAUCCAGCAAUGCCGCGUGAGUGAUGAAGGCCUUAGGGUUGUAAAGCUCUUUUACCCGGGAUGAUAAUGACAGUACCGGGAGAAUAAGCUCCGGCUAACUCCGUG
rnacentral:rRNA from 1 species